rnacentral:rRNA from 1 species
UACGUAGGGCGCAAGCGUUGUCCGGAAUUAUCGGGCGUAAAGAGCUCGUAGGCGGUUUGUCGCGUCUGUCGUGAAAGCCCACGGCUUAACCGUGGGUCUGCGGUGGAUACGGGCAGACUAGAGGCAGGUAGGGGAGAAUGGAAUUCCCGGUGUAGCGGUGAAAUGCGCAGAUAUCGGGAGGAACACCGGUGGCGAAGGCGGCUCACUGGCCCGCAACUGACACU